rnacentral:tRNA from 1 species
GCGUCGGUGGUAUAACGGUUAGAAUAGCUGCCUUCCAAGCAGUUGACCCGGGUUCGACUCCCGGCCGACGCA